CAGUCGCCACGGUAAUACGGAGGGCGCGAGCGUUACCCGGAUUUACUGGGCGUAAAGGGCGUGUAGGCGGCCUGGGGCGUCCCAUGUGAAAGGCCACGGCUCAACCGUGGAGGAGCGUGGGAUACGCUCAGGCUAGAGGGUGGGAGAGGGUGGUGGAAUUCCCGGAGUAGCGGUGAAAUGCGCAGAUACCGGGAGGAACGCCGAUGGCGAAGGCAGCCACCUGGUCCACUUCUGACGCUGAGGCGCGAAAGCGUGGGGAGCAAACAGGAUUAGAUACCCCCGUAGUCCCUGUCUCUUAUAC
rnacentral:rRNA from 1 species